UGGGGAAUAUUGGGUAAUGGGCGCAAGCCUGACCCAGCGACGCCGCGUGGGUGAUGAAGGCCUUCGGGUCGUAAAGCCCUGUCGGGUGGAAAGAACGGUAUGGGUGCAAAUAGCGCUCAUACGUGACGGUACCACCGAAGGAAGCACCGGCCAAUUCCGUGCCAGCAGCCGCGGUAAGACGGAAGGUGCAAGCGUUGCUCGGAAUCACUGGGCGUAAAGGGUGCGUAGGCGGCUGUGUAAGUCUGGCGUGAAAGCCCAGGGCUCAGCCCUGGAAGGGCGCUAGAAACUGCGCGGCUAGAGUGCCGGAGGGGAGAGUGGAAUUCCUGGUGUAGCGGUGAAAUGCGUAGAUA
rnacentral:rRNA from 1 species